CAAUAAGAGUGUUUAUGGCACUCUUCAAAAUAUCCAUACCCACCUUGUGUGCGACGUAAGAAGAAAAAAAGAAGAUGCGAGUCAUGGGGAAACCCAAGUCUUGCUCCCUUUCUUUUUUCUUUUCCACAUACACCUUUCUAUUAGUUCCUAUUGUCUGAAGCUGUUAGAGAAUGACUAAUUCUUAAACA
rnacentral:misc_RNA from 1 species